UAUAACCAUCAUUGAGCCCAAAACCUUUGUUGCUAAGUAAGACAAUCGAAUUUGUCCAAGAGCUUCCCAAAACAGCAGCUGGAAAAAUUAAACGGAGUGUCUUGCGGAAACAAGAAUGGAGUGAAGUCAAACGCCGGCUCGACCUUCCCAAAUAAAACAUGUUUCCAUUCUAUGUGGUCCCAUUUUCAUUCAUUGUAUUAUUCCAAGCCAAUUGAUCCCAUUCUAGAAGGUUUUAAGUCCAAUUUAGGGUCCUUGGUCCUUAGGAAAUACUUGAUAGGUGGAUACAAAUGACAAAUUCAGUCUGAACACCUGGCUGACUCUAUGACCAACCAUAAUUGCAUUCAUCACGAAUUUCACCUGUUCAAUUGCUUUUGAAUCAUAAAUACUAUCAUCCACAUUCAUGCUUGUAACUUUAGUUAAUUUUGGAUAUGCUAGCUGUAAUUUUAUUUCCCCCCCUCUGAUUUUAAUGCCUUAUUUUAGUAUAAUUCAAUGAUAUUGCAAAAAACCUUCUCACUGUAGCAUGUAAAAGUCGAUUAAAGGAAUAAGUUUAAAUGCAGCUUUAGAAGUAAGUAAAUGUUUAACACAUUAAAAAAAAUUAAGCAGUUGCUAUUACUUCUACUAAGUGUAUUGUUUGAGCAGUUGAGUGGAUGUUUGUAUUCUUCCACCCUAUCUCUAAUUCCUACCCUUCCUUUAUUGUCUAGUCUGCAAAAAAAAAACACCUUUUUUUAAAGCAAGGUUUGUCUAUACUCAUGUCAGAAUAAGAUGCAAUAAAGAUCUAAAGAAUCUUGUCAGACCAUCCAGGUUAUCACUCCUCUGGAAGACAUAAACCUUGAAGUGCCUUGAAACCUUGAAAUCAUUGUGUGAUUCAGUGUUCUGCCAGUAGCCAUUGGAAAAGCAUGAAACAGGCAGGAGGGAAGAGAAAGCUUUGUUGAAGGAUUGAAAUCCAAGGUCCCAAAAGAUUGAAUUACCUUGCUAAGUAGGAAAAAAAAAUCAAGCUUCAAAGAUGGAUGUCCAGAACUAAUGGGACAAACUUAAAUCUCCAAGACAUCUGACCUUUGAACGCAGGAGUUGAACAUAGCAAAAAAAUAAAAUAAAUCAAGAUAACCAGAACUU